rnacentral:tRNA from 1 species
GCUCCUGUAGCUCAGCCUGGAUAGAGCAGAGGCAUCCUAAGCCUAAGGUCGAGGGUUCAAAUCCUUCCGGGAGCG